rnacentral:rRNA from 1 species
UGGGGCUUGCUCCAUGACUUAGUGGCGCACGGGUGAGUAACGCGUGGGAACCUGCCCCGGAGUGCGGAAUAACCGAGGGAAACUUCGGCUAAUACCGCAUACGUCCCAAGGGAGAAAGGCUUCGGCGCCCUGGGAGGGGCCCGCGUCCGAUUAGCUAGUUGGCGGGGUAACGGCCCACCAAGGCGACGAUCGGUAGCUGGUCUGAGAGGAUGAUCAGCCACACUGGGACUGAGACACGGCCCAGACUCCUACGGGAGGCAGCAGUGGGGAAUAUUGGACAAUGGGGGCAACCCUGAUCCAGCAAUGCCGCGUGAGUGAUGAAGGCCUUAGGGUUGUAAAGCACUUUAAGUUGGGAGGAAGGGUUGUAGAUUAAUACUCUGCAAUUUUGACGUUACUCGCAGAAUAAGCACCGGCUAACUCUGUGCCAGCAGCCGCGGUAAUACAGAGGGUGCAAGCGUUGUUCGGAAUUACUGGGCGUAAAGCGCGCGCAGGCGGCUCUUUAAGUCAGGGGUGAAAGGCCUGGGCUUAACCCGGGAACUGCCUUUGAGACUGGAGAGCUCGAGUUCGGGAAAAGGUGGUGGAAUUCCCAGUGUANAGGUGAAAUUCGUAGAUAUUGGGAAGAACACCGGUGGCGAAGGCGGCCACCUGGCCCGCGACUGACGCUUAGGCGCGAAAGCGUUGGGAGCAAACAGGAUUAGAUACCCUGGUAGUCCACGCCGUAAACGAUCUGCGCUAGAUGUUGGGGACUUGUCCUCAAGUGUCGUAGCUAACGCGAUAAGCGCACCGCCUGGGGAGUACGGCCGCAAGGUUAAAACUCAAAUGAAUUGACGGGGGCCCGCACAAGCGGUGGAGCAUGUGGUUUAAUUCGAUGCAACGCGCAGAACCUUACCAGCUCUUGACAUGGGACGUAUGGUCUCCGGAAACGGGGAGCUUCAGUUCGGGCUGGCGUCCACACAGGUGCUGCAUGGCUGUCGUCAGCUCGUGUCGUGAGAUGUUGGGUUAAGUCCCGCAACGAGCGCAACCCUCGCCUUCAGUUGCCAUCGGGUAGGGCCGGGCACUCUGAAGGAACUGCCGGUGACAAGCCGGAGGAAGGUGGGGAUGACGUCAAGUCCUCAUGGCCCUUACGGGCUGGGCUACACACGUGCUAUAAUGGCGGUGACAGUGGGCGGCGAUCCCGCGAGGGGGAGCCAAUCUCCAAAAGCCGUCUCAGUUCGGAUUGCACUCUGCAACUCGAGUGCAUAAGUCGGAAUCGCUAGUAAUCGCGGAUCAGCACGCCGCGGUGA